CGAGUCUUGUAGCAUACAAGGCGGACGGCUCAGUAACACGUAGUCAACCUAACUCGUGGACGUGGAUAACCUCGGGAAACUGAGAAUAAACCACGAUAGAUCAUAGUGCCUGGAAUGGCCUAUGGUCCAAACAGUUUACUGCCAUGGGAUGGGACUGCGGCCUAUCAGCUUGUUGGUGAGGUAAUGGCCCACCAAGGCGAUUACAGGUACGGGCUCUGAGAGGAGAAGCCCGGAGAUGGGUACUGAGACACGGACCCAGGCCCUAUGGGGCGCAGCAGGCGAGAAACCUUAGCAAUGUGCGAAAGCACGACUGGGUCAGUCCGAGUGAUUCCUGAUAAAGGAGUCUUUUGCUUGUCCUAAAAGCACAGGUGAAUAAGGGGUGGGCAAGUCUGGUGUCAGCCGCCGCGGUAAUACCAGCACCUCGAGUGGUCAGGACGUUUAUUGGGCCUAAAGCAUCCGUAGCCGGCUUUGCAAGUCUUCGGUUAAAUCCACCUGCUCAACAGAUGGGCUGCUGGAGAUACUACAAAGCUAGGGAGUGGGAGAGGCAGACGGUAUUCAGUGGGUAGGGGUAAAAUCCUCUGAUCCAUUGAGGACCACCAGUGGCGAAGGCGGUCUGCCAGAACACGUUCGACGGUGAGGGAUGAAAGCUGGGGGAGCAAACCGGAUUAGAUACCCGGGUAGUCCCAGCUGUAA
rnacentral:rRNA from 1 species